AACGUAGGAGGCGAGCGUUAUCCGGAUUUACUGGGUGUAAAGCGCGUGCAGGCGGUGAGAUAAGUUGGGUGUGAAAGCUCCCGGCUCAACUGGGAGAGGUCGCUCAAGACUGUCUGACUGGAGCGUGGUAGGGGAAGGCGGAAUUCCAGGUGUAGUGGUGAAAUGCGUAGAUAUCUGGAGGAACACCAGUGGCGAAAGCGGCCUUCUGGACCAUGACUGACGCUCAGACGCGAAAGCUAGGGGAGCAAACGGG
rnacentral:rRNA from 1 species